rnacentral:misc_RNA from 1 species
ACCAACAUUUGUGACUGUUCUUGAAACGGUUAGCUUGUUCUUCAGCUCAGGAACGGUGAUGGAAGGUAGAUUAAGAUUUGCAAGGGACUUGGUUGAUUUCUGGCAUACAGUUUGAGACUGGGUCAUUAAGCUGAUGGCAGAAUUAUUGUAGCCCAUGGAACAAAGAAAACGGACGUAAUCUGAGAUCCCCAGGUCAUAUAUAAGACCAGGAUUCAAGGCUUUGUUAGGAUCAACAUGACCACCUCCAUAAUCAAAUGGAUCAGCUUGCUUGUGUGGAGCUCCCUCAGCAAUAAUAUUUUGACCAUAUUCAUCCAUUACAGAAGCUGUUGUGAUCAGUGCAGACUUGAUUGCAGCAGGGCUCCAUGUUGGAUGAAUAGCUUUAAGAAGCGCUACAAUACCAG